rnacentral:rRNA from 1 species
AAAAAAAAAAUUAAUAAAUUUAAAUUAAUAAAAAUAAUUUUAAUAAUUUAGGUUAAAAUAUUUAAUAAGAAAAAAUUUAUUAAAUUAUAGUAGAUUAGUAUUGUAAAAGAAUUUUGAAAUAAUAAUUUAAAAAAUAAUUUUUUUAAAAGUAAAUUUAAUUUAUUGUAUCUUGUGUAUCAAAGUUUAUUAAAUAAUUAUUUAAUAUUAAAAUAUUCUCGAAUUUAAAAGAGUUAAUUAAUUAAUUUAGUUAAUGUAGUAUAAUUAUUAAUAAUAGUUAAUUAGAAAUGAAAUGUUAAACGUUUUUAAAUAUAUCUAGUUUUUUAAGAAAUAAAUUUAAUUUAUAUAAUUAUUAAUUAAAUUAUAAAUUAUUUUAUAAUUUAAAAUAUAUUAUAAAUAUUUAAAGGGAUAAGCUUUUAAAUAAAUUAUUAUAUAUAUAUAUUAGUAUUAAUUUUGUUAAGUUUAAUAUAAUUAAUAUUAUUAAUUUUAUUUAAUUUGUUAAUAAUAAAUUUAAUUAGAAAUAUAAUUUUAUAAAUAUAAAUAUUAAAAUAUUUAUUAAAAUAUUUAUUUUAAUAAUAUAAAUAAAAUAAUAAUGAUAAAAUUAGUAUAAAAUUUAAUUUAAAAUUAAAUUUAAAAUAAAAAUUAAUUUAAGUAAUUCGGCAAAAAUAGAUAUUCACCUGUUUAUCAAAAACAUGUCCUUUUGAAUUAAUGAUUUAAGGUCUAAUCUGCCCACUGAAUAAUAUUUAAAGGGCCGCAGUAAUUUGACUGUGCAAAGGUAGCAUAAUAAAUAGUCUUUUAAUUGAAGACUGGAAUGAAUGAUUGAAUGAAAUAUUAACUGUCUCAGAUUAAUAAAUUAUAAUUUAAUUUUUUAGUUAAAAAGCUAAAAUAAAUUUAAAAGACGAGAAGACCCUAUAGAGUUUUAUAUUUAUAAUAUUAUUAAAUUAUUUAUAUAAUUUAUUAUUUAAUAAGUAUAUAAAUAUUUUAUUGGGGUGAUAGAAAAAUUAAAUAAACUUUUUUUUAUAUAAAUAAUACAUUUAUUUAUGAUUUAAGUGAUCCAAUUUUAUUGAUUAAAAGAUUAAAUUACCUUAGGGAUAACAGCGUUAUUUUUUUUUUUAGUUCUUAUAAAAAAGAAAGUUUGCGACCUCGAUGUUGGAUUAAGGUAAAAAUUAAAUGCAAAAGUUUAAAUUUUUAGUCUGUUCGACUAUUAAAAUCUUACAUGAUCUGAGUUCAAACCGGUGUAAGCCAGGUUGGUUUCUAUCUUUAAAUAAAUAAAAUAUUUUAGUACGAAAGGAAUAAAUAUUUAAAAUAAUUUUAUAAAAAAAAAUGAAAUUAAAUAAUAAAUAAUAA